UUCAAAUCAGAGCGUGCACCCCUGGUUGACAACAACAAACUGAGAUGUAGUAAGGAGAAGUUUGGCCACAACAAAUUAAAGUGACCUGUAUAAACUGCAAGCACCAGUCAGAGAAAUGUGUCCAAGGCACCAAGCAUUCUUGGUGAGGAUCCAUCCUCCAUUGAGGCUCACGUGAAGGUCUUGCACAGCCAGUACCAGAAGAUGCAACCAGACACCAUGAUUGUAUGAGACCAAAUGCAGCAAACCUUUGCAUGACGGCAAAAGGAGAUUGCAGAUGGCAUGACUGUGAAGGACACAAUUAAGAAGUACCCUUUCUUAAGGACACUCACCGGGUUGUUUGAUGAGUUGGAAGGUAUCCAUCCAGCAAGGGGAAACGUGUGUCAGUGAUUCAAUGAAGGCUUCAACUGUAUUGUACCAAAGGUGCUUGAUCUGGCUCAAGGGGAAUCCCCGCUAUCCCAACUCUACCUGGAGGCAAGAGAAGAGGCUCUCACUGAGGAUC